rnacentral:lncRNA from 1 species
GGGCGGGGGCAGGCCGGUUGCAAGGGGAGCCGGCCAGUGCUUAGAGGGUUGGAACUUUCAACCCCGGCCCUUGACCUCCUGGUGGGGAAGAGGGAUUGGAGGAUGAGUUAGUCAAUCAUGCCUAUGGAACACAGCCUCCGAAAACUGAAAAGGAUGGGGUUCGGAGCCUCGCGUUGGUGACCGCGUCAAGGUGCGGGAGGGCGGGGCACCCGGAGAGGGCGCGGAAGCACACGCCAGCCCUGCCCCUCGCCUUGCCCUCUGCUCUUCCUGAGCGGUAUCCUUUAGAACAAACUGGUAAAUUGCGCUGGACACGGACCGCCAAUUGUGUACUUUACACAUCACUCCUCCCAUCUCUGCUGCUGCCUGAUAGGGGUUAUCUUCCUCUGCACGAACAGAAAACAAAGGCACAGAAAGGAAUGAAGAGUCACCGUUAAUUCCUGGGUCCAGAAGGAUCCCAAAUGAAUUUAGAACAACUGAAGACUCUCAGUUCAGAGGGACACUUUAAAAAGCAACCAAUAAUUACAGCUGGGGAGCCAUGAAGGAGCCCGAAGACACCAAGGCCUGUCCAUUCGAGACCAAAGGAGGAAUGUUGUUUACCAACUUUUCACCGAUGCUGCACCGACUCCCCAAAGAAUCUAGGGUGGCCGACUGGAGAAAGCAAAGAAGAAUCCCAGCUGUCAGCCUUUACCCACUGGGAAAACUCCUGAGAUCGAGCCACUCAAGUGGGUUAUUUUGCCAAGAGGAAAAAGCAACAGAUCACGGAACCAAAUAAGUCACGUGGACGACCCGUUACUUAUAUGAAUAAUAUACACUGAAAAGAGAAA